rnacentral:rRNA from 1 species
AGAGUUUGAUCAUGGCUCAGAACGAACGCUGGCGGCGUGCCUAACACAUGCAAGUCGUACGAGAAAGGGGCUUCGGUCCCGAGUAUCGUGGCAGACGGGUGAGUAACGCGUGGGUAACCUGCCCUCGAGUGGGGAAUAACCCAGGGAAACUUGGGCUAAUACCGCAUACGCUCGCGACCUCCCUGGAGGUUGUGAGGAAUGGUGGGGAUCGAAAGACCUACCGCUCGAGGAGGGACCUGCGUCUGAUUAGCUAGUUGGUGGGGUAACGGCCUACCAAGGCGACGAUCAGUAGCCGGCCUGAGAGGGUGUCCGGCCACACUGGAACUGAGACACGGUCCAGACUCCUACGGGAGGCAGCAGUGAGGAAUCUUGCGCAAUGGGCGAAAGCCUGACGCAGCAACGCCGCGUGGGUGAUGAAGGCCUUCGGGUCGUAAAACCCUGUCGGGUGGGAAGAAAUGGCGGUGGGCCAAUACCCCAUCGUCUUGACUGUACCACCAGAGAGCCC